CAUCAUCACUAGCAACAUCGCGACAACCACUACAGCAACAACCACUUCGACAGCAGCAACAGCAACCGGAACAAACACCACCACCUCAGCAACAACAAAUUGUUGCUGCUGCUGAGGUCACUGGAGUAUCACCCCCUUAUAUUACACUUUAUCCUCAAGACAAGUUUGAUGGGAAUGACGAGUACUUCUUAGCCACCCCAACAUCAUCAUCACCAACAACAUCGCGACAACCACUACAGCAACAACCACUUUGACAGCAGCAGCAACAACAACACCAACCACCUCAACAACAGCAGCCAGCUAAACAGCAACAACAAAAACAUAGUGUUCAAAAUGUAAGUUUGAUAUACUUUUUAGUCUAUCUUAAUGAAAACAUAAAGCUACAUAUUUACCUCAUACUACUUUCUUUUUUACAAUUAAUAGUAUAAGAUAUGUUAUAUUUGUAAGUAUCAUUGUUGCCAUAAUCAUACCUUUGCAUCUUUAAUGUUAGAUAAUAUCACAGUCUGCUGAG